UGGCUCAGGACGAACGCUGGCGGCGUGCUUAACACAUGCAAGUCGAGCGAGAAAGCACCUUCGGGUGUGAGUACAGCGGCGAACGGGUGAGUAACACGUGGGCAACCUGCCCCAAGGACCGGGACAACAGCUCGAAAGGGCUGCUAAUACCGGAUGUUGUGCGAUCUGCCAAGUGGAUCGCACCAAAUGGUAGCUUCGGCCUCCGCCUUGGGAUGGGCCCGCGGCGCAUUAGCUUGUUGGUGAGGUAACGGCUCACCAAGGCGACGAUGCGUAGCUGGUCUGAGAGGACGAUCAGCCACACUGGGACUGAGACACGGCCCAGACUCCUACGGGAGGCAGCAGUGGGGAAUCUUGCGCAAUGGGCGAAAGCCUGACGCAGCAACGCCGCGUGAGCGAAGACGGCCUUCGGGUUGUAAAGCUCUGUCAGGAGGGACGAAGCCACUCGGGUGAAUAGCCCAGAGGGUGACGGUACCUCCAGAGGAAGCCCCGGCUAACUACGUGCCAGCAGCCGCGGUAAUACGUAGGGGGCGAGCGUUGUCCGGAAUCAUUGGGCGUAAAGCGCGUGUAGGCGGCCUGGCAAGUCCGAUGUGAAAGCUCGAGGCUCAACCUCGAGUCUGCAUUGGAAACUGCUUGGCUAGAGUCCGGAAGAGGGGACUGGAAUUCCUGGUGUAGCGGUGAAAUGCGCAGAUAUCAGGAAGAACACCGGUGGCGAANNCGGGUCCCCGGGACGGUACUGACGCUGAGACGCGAAANCGUGGGGAGCAAACAGGAUUAGAUACCCUGNNAGUCCNACGCNNUAAACGAUGGGCACU
rnacentral:rRNA from 1 species